GUGAAUCAUCGAAUCUUUGAACGCAAAUUGCACUCCCUGGUAUUCCUGGGAGUAUACCUGUUGUAGGUUCGUUGGAACAAAAGUCGAGGCGUCGCUCUUUUUUUUAAGUGUGAUGGAGUCGGAAUGGAGCCGUCUUUCAAAGGUUAGUUAAUGUCAAAGUGGUGUGAAAGUCAUGCAUCCGGUAGGAUUAAAGCGUAUUUAAGAUCGCUUUGGAUUAUGAACGCGCUAUGAACGAACCCGCGCAUG
rnacentral:misc_RNA from 1 species